GCUGCCUAUCUUAUAAAUCGCAUGCCCACAGCCACCCUGAAUAAUCAAUCUCCAUUUGAAAAAUUAUUCAAUCAGCAACCCAAUUAUCUAAAACUAAAACAUUUUGGUUGCCUCUGUUACCCUUUAACCCGUCCGUACAAUAAACACAAACUUGAACCGAAAGCCACAUCAUGCGUCUUCGUGGGUUACAGCUUAUCACAAAAUGCCUAUUUGUGCCUUGAGCGGUCAACCAACAGAAUUUAUACUUCACGCCACGUCAUUUUUCAUGAAAGCACUUUCCCCUUUCAUCAGUCCGAUCAUCACAACCCUUCUUCUUCUCAAUCGAUUGAGCAAAGCUCUUCUGUGCCCAUCACCUUAACCACACUCCAGUUUGAUUCACCUCGUCUCAGCACUUCUCUGGAUGUGGGUACCACCGUCUUGCAAUCGUGAGCGUGGGUCGUCCUCUGCGCCGUCUCUUCUCCAGGUAAGUAAUUCAAAUUCUCCUCUGCUUUCAAAUUCCAGUCCUUCCCUUGAAUUAUCUCAUUCAAUUGUUCCUGAACAACCUACUGAGAGAAUGCAUAAUAUGACUACUAGGUCCAUGAAUGAUAUUUAUAGACCUAAGAAAUCAUUUCUUGUUACCAAGCAUCCCAUUCCAUCCUCCUUAGAACCCUUGAAUGUUGCUGCUGCUCUUACUGAUUCUAGAUGGCGUGAGGCUAUGUCCUCCGAAUUAACUGCAUUGAUGCGUCAUAAUACCUGGCAAUUGGUGCCUCCUCCAACUGGAUGCAAUAUUAUUGGGUGUAAAUGGGUAUUUCGGGUUAAGAGGCAUGCUAAUGGGUCUGUUGAUCGGUUUAAAGCUAGACUGGUAGCUAAAGGAUUUAAUCAGCGACCCGGACUUGAUUACAAAGAAACGUUUAGCCCUGUUGUUAAGUCGGUCACCAUACGCACUGUCUUGACCAUUGCUGUUAUGCAGGGCUGGACUUUGCGCCAGUUGGAUGUUAAUAAUGCAUUCCUUCAUGGCCAUCUCACUGAAACAGUUUAUAUGAAACAACCCCCUGGCUUCAAGAAUUCUGAUCAUCCUGAUUAUGUUUGCAGCCUCACCAAGGCUAUCUAUGGCCUAAAACAGGCCCCUCGUGCCUGGUUUGCUGCCCUUACGCAGGCCUUAAUAGAUUUUGGUUUUCUCAAUUCUAAAUCAGACUCCUCUCUAUUCGUGUUCAUGAUGGUUCUACUCUUGCCUAUUGCUUAGUAUAUGUUGAUGAUCUAAUUAUCACAGGCAAUAACACAGAUUUUGUUGCAAGCAUUGUUGAUCAUCUUGGCAGGAAAUUUUCCAUCAAAGACUUGGGGUCCUGCAUUUCUUUCUUGGUGUCGAGGUUAUCCCUACUGCAGCUGGUUUAUUUCUGUCUCAACACAAGUAUAUCCGAGAUUUGCUUGCCAAAACCAGUAUGGAUGGUGCUCGAGAUGUUUCCACGCCUCUCUCAUCCUCAGUUUCUUUACAGCUGGAUGAUGGUUCUGCAUCUGUUGACUCUACAGAAUAUUGCAAAGUUAUUGGCUCUUUGCAAUACCUGUCCCUCACUCGACCUGACAUCAGCUUUGCUGUCAAUAAACUCUCACAGUUUAUGCAUCAUCCUAAGCAGACUCAUUGGACAGCAACAAAGAGACUGUUGCGUUAUCUGAAGAACACCAUAUUCCAUGGAGUUAACAUCAGCAAAGCUUCAAGCAGCACACUAACUUGUUUCUCGGAUGCUGAUUGGGCUGGGAAUCUCGAUGACAGAAAAUCAACUUCAGCUUAUAUGAUAUUCCUUGGUCAGACACCUAUUUCCUGGAGUUCAAAAAAGCAACGUGCUAUCGCCUGUUCGUCAACUGAAGCUGAGUAUAGGGCCUUGGCAACGGCUGCUGCUGAGAGUGUGUGGGUACUCUCUCUACUUCAAGAACUUAAGUUCUCUCUAUCACAAUCACCUUUGCUCCUAUGUGAUAAUUUAGGGGCAACACACUUAAGUUUCAAUCCUGUCCAACACUCUAGGAUGAAACACAUACAAAUUGAUAUUCACUUUGUAAGAGAUCUGGUUGCGAAAAAUAUUAUUAAUGUUCAACAUGUUCACACCACUGAUCAGCUAGCAGAUCUGCUCACCAAACCUCUCUCUCAGCAAAGAACAGAAUACUUAUGUGACAAGAUCGGCCUCUCCGAUGGUAACCCGUUCUUGCGGGGGCGUAUCAAGGAACCUGAUGAUGUUAAACUCUUGCCAAGUCAAUCACAACUGUUACUAAGAUAAAUGCCAGAUUGUGUGCUCUCCGUGAUCAUAGGAUUAGUUUGAAUUAUUGUUAUCAAUUCUGAUUGUAAUUAUCCUUCAGUUACAAAUCUUUGAAUCCUGUAAUUAUCCUUCAGUUACAAACAUUUGAAGUCUGCAAUUACCUAGACUGUAUAAAUGUUAACACAAAUGAAUAAGAAACGUCAAGUUGCAUUACAUCAAGAUUGCAGUGUAGAGUUUCUAUACAGGUUUCUGAAUUCGGUAUAGCUUGCUUCCUAAGAAAAAAAAACACAACAGCUACAGCCAUGGCAACCGCUGGGACUCCAAACCCCCAUCCCCAGCCAACAUUCAUUUGCAUCCAGAACAAAACAGAAGACGCAACAAGCGCACCGAUGUUGAUUGAAAGGUAAAACCAAUUAAAAAAGGAGCUUUUCCUUUUCCUCUCGGUCUCAUCAGUUUCAUCAAAUUGAUCUGCGCCGAAGGAUGAAACACAUGGCUUGAUUCCUCCAGUUCCAAGAGCGAUCAUGUAAAGUGCAACAAAGCAUGCUGCAGUUUGUCCUGUGGUCGGGUGGCAAGAAUCCUUAUCACAUGAUGGCUUCAGACCAGUGACCGAAGCAGACAAUGUGAGGAGUGUCAUUCCCUGCCAGAAAAAUAAGAUGUCAUCAUUUCCACAAAUACAUAUAUCGCAAGAAUGUUCAAUUUACUUUUAGAAACAAAAAGAAAAUCCCAUGAAAAAUAAAACCAAGCUUGAGACGUUUUUCUUUUAAAAUUCUCAAAAGAGACAGGCAGCAUGUGUAUAGGAAAAACGAAGAGAGUUUUUCAACCUGGGAUAUUUGCAUUAAAUGCACUAUCAAGUACCACUUCUUUUACAUGGUCUUCCUUGACACAAUCAUAAUUCGUAAAAGUGGUGUUAGAAAAUCGAUUUUGAGGAACCAAGUUCUGCUAAAUAUUCAAAAAUAUGUAUCUGAUCGACUAUAAAAUGUCUUGAAAAGGUGAAAACCAGGACGAACAUUUUGCUGAGAGGAAAUUCUAGAAUGGUAAGAAAUGAACAGACAAGCAUAAACUGAAACCAAACUCUCGGUGCAAACUGAUAACCAGAGACACUGAUCAAGUGUACUGGCAAUUUGGUUCACUUUUAAAGCAUACUUACAACGAUAUAUAUGAUAAAAAAACUCGCAAUUGUCCAAUAUCUUCCCAAAUAUGAAUCUGCUAGAAAGGCUCCAAUCAGUGGUGUGACAUAGCAAGUUCCAGACCAAUUGGUGAAAUUUUUUGCUGCAGCAACAUUUCCCUGGUUGAGACGGUCCCCAAGAUAGUUCACAAGAUUCGUACUCAUCCCGUAGUAUGCCAACCUCUCACAGCAUUCAUUCCCUGCAAGGAAAUUAUUAAAAUUUUGAUGAUAAACAAUUUUAGUGUACGGAUAUUACAAAGGAAUCGUAAGUCAGAUAUCAUACAAUGAGCUUGACCAAGAAAAGAUAGACAAAAUAUCAUACCAAGAAUAAAGCGGCAAGACUUCCAGUUUCCAGUUUUCUUCUUAUUAGCUGGAUUUCCUUUGAUAUCCACCGUCCCAUUGUUUGUGUAAUCAUCUUCUGCCAUAGUUUCUUUCCUGACCUGCAACACGCUUUCUCUGUUGAGACUUCAUAGUUUUUUUUCGAGCCAACAGAUCAAAAAAGAAUAAAAAGGGUCAUUUUUAUCUGGUAGGAAGCACUAGAAUACAACAAAGAGAUAACCACAAAUCGCCAGAGACUCCAAGCACAAUUACCUUUAUAAAAAACAAAAAUCAAGAGAGAUUCACACAUACAAAAAGCUGCUAUAAGCCAAGCCAUAAGCAUUAGAGACUAUUUAUUUCAGUGUAAAGGUCAAAACCCAUCUGGGAAAAAAAAAGAUUACUCUUGAAAACCAUAUUCACAACAUUAACACAAAUACAAUAACAAUACUUGGAGAUAUCACACACAAAAGAAAUAAAUCAUAAUAUUCUUGAAAGGAAAAAAAAGAGAGAAAAGUAAAAAAUCCUCAAUUUUACCACACAAACUCUCAAUAAAACAGGAAGAGUACAGUCAUCACUAAUAAGAUCCUAUCAGGACUGUGUUAAAACAGAAAAUAAAAAAAAAACAUCAUGCAUUGAAUGCAUGCAGAAACAAUUCACCGAGACAGAUUUCUCAAGAGGAAUCCUUCUCUUCUCUUUUGGUUCUGGUUGUUGCAGGCAAAGUGAUGGGGUGGUAAUGCUAAUGGUAUUGGUAUAUAAACACGCUCAAAAAACAGUAAAAAGAAAGCAAGACAAAAAAGCAAAUAGAAAGUGAUUCUAGCCAGUAUAGAAAACAAAGUCAGAAUCCAACUCAAGCACAUCUGUGCAGUAGAGAGGGAGGAAUUCGGUGAAUCUCUUUUACCAUCUGUUAGAUACUGGGAGGAUGAAUCUUAUUUUUGUUUAAUAAAUUACACCUUACUCCCCUAACUCUUAAGAAAUUAUUAAGUUAGUACCCCUAGUUCUGAAAACCACACACUGAACCCUUUUGUUUUCUUGCAAUGUUUAACUAAUAAGGUAAAGAAUCCAUUAACAAGUUGCUGGUCACAAUUGGUUAAAAAAUUAGUUGAUGAUUUCUAAAAUCACAAGGAUUAAAUUAAUUAUUUGUAAUUGAAUUUUCUUCGCAUACCCUUAAUUAUGAUAAUUAUGUUAUGAUAUUUUUUUUUUGUAAAAUAACUUACAAAUUCAUCACUUGUUAUUAUAAGAAAAUAUUAUUUGAUAAGUAUUAGAUAUCCAAAUGAAUAUGAAUUUUUAGAUUUAUCUUUAUCACUUGUCAACCUAAAAGUUAGAAAAAGGUCAUCAAUUGUGCACACUCUUCAAUACAUAUUGUGAUAUAAUAUACUUUUAGACUUUGAUAAAACAGAUAAAAAAUUUUACAAAACAUGUCAACACAAAUUCAAAUUAUAGUAGCAUUAAUAAUAUUAUAUAAUUACAUUAGAAAAAAGUCUCAAGAAAAUCACUUAUUUGCAAAAUUCGAUCGCCAUCCAAACUUUGCUCAUGAUAAUAUUUUAUCUGAUGUCAGAUCACAUUCAAAUAACCAUUGAUAUCAUAGACCAUCACGAAUGGACUUUGUUUAUUAUGUUAUCCUAAAUUAAAAGCCUAAUGUUGCAUUGCUGCAUUUCUUAGGUAUUAAUAUUCAAAUGCUUUUUAUUUAAUUUGAAGCUAAGAAUUUAAUUUAUGUUUUUUCCGUCAUUUCAAUAUUAAUAACAUCCUAAAAACUAAAUUUUAAUAAAAAAAAAUCUUUAAAUUAUUUUUAAUUCAACAUCAACCUUAAUAAUAAUUUUAACUAAACACAUAAAAAAUUAUACUAUCAUCAACUAAAAUUAUUAUUAUUAUUAUUAUUUCAAUAUACAACCAUAAAAUCUAACAUAACAUUAAAAAAAAAAAAAACAUCACAUCAAUUGAAGUAAUGACGUGAGUGGAGUGGAGUGGAGAAUUUGUAUACGCAGAAAGCUCAUCAUAGAAGUUGCUUAGAAAAGAAGUAGGUGGAGAGAGUAGGGGAAAAGAAUUGGAGUUCUUGUUUUUGAUAGAUGUCAGCCCAAUAACAUGGGAUGCUUACAUAUUAUGCAUUUUGCAUUUGGGACCUUUGGUUCUUACUAAUCAUAAUUAGCAGACAGCAGCGAAAAGGAAAUAAGAAAGAAAGUGUUUAAUUGAAUCCAAUCUUCCUAAUAAAACUUAAUUGGUUGAAAUUGAGCAGCUCAGCUCUGUUCUAAUUAAACUCCCUAACAUUUUUUGUUGUUGUUGUUGUUAAUUAUAGAUAUUCAAGACAGAUUAUGUAUAACUCGACUAAUCUCUUGAGAUCUUAAAAUUAACAACCAUAUAGUCUCUGAUAGUCUUGAAAUUUAUAACACUUAAAUUGAUGAAUUUUAGAGAAUAAAUUCAGAACCUGACUAAUUAAGUUACACCUUUCAUAGUACCAUUCAUUUUAGAUAUAUUAGAAAUGACCUUGUCUACCUUAAUCUUAAAUAGUUUUUUAACAUGAUAGCCAGAAGUUCAAAACUAAAUACUAUAAAAUAAAUACAAUAAAUUGGAGGAAUACAUUGUUGGAACAACUCUAACAAGUACAAAAUAGAGACAGGAAGUAACUUUACUCUGGGACUUUUGGUCCUAACAAUUUUAGUCAAGAAAUAGUUCCGAGUAUCUCUUAAGAUCCUGCAAUAACUAUCAAUCACUGGACACCACAGCUUUCUUGUAAGUGUACCAUCUGGCAACCAAAAGAUAGACCCCCAAGUUGAGCACACUCAACACUGCCAAGAGCCAGAAAAAAUAAUGAAGAUGGCCGUGAUUCAAAUCGUCCGGUAUCCAACCAGGCUUACCAUGCCUGGUGCUCAUAUCCGUGACAAUAUUAACUAGGAAUGUGCUCAAGUAGCUCCCAAGUGCAGCGGUUGUGAGUGAGAGAGCUGAGCAAAGGCUCCUCAUGGCAUCGGGUGCCUGUUCAUAAAAGAACUCCAAUUGCCCGAUAAAUGUGAAAACUUCUGCACAUCCUAUAAUGAAAUACUGAGGGACCUGCAAAAAUAUGGACAUUGGUAUGUGCUUUAGUUCAUAGUAGUUAUGUUUUCUGACCUCGCGGAGUCUCACGAGCUCUAGAGUCCCUGCAACCAACAUGGCAAAGAUGGAAAUUACAAGGCCAAUUGCAAUUCUUUGAAGCUGUGUGAAUCCAUUCUUGUGUCCAGUAAAUCUUCUUGCAAAGGGGACGAUGGCACGGUCGUAAAUCGGUACCCAGAAGAUUACACUAACUGUGUCAAAGAGGGAGAGUGAAGCAGAAGGGAUUUCGAAGGAUUUGCCAAUGCGAAGGUCCAUUGUGUUUCCCUGCAGGACAAAUAAGGUUCCCAUUUGACUGUAUACAGCAGAAAAUAUUAUGCCAGUUGCCCAUACAGGAAGCAACCGAAUGAUGGACUUGAGCUCUUCAACCUGAGUCACGGUGCACAGUUUCCACUGAUUCGCGGACCCUUUUAGACGGUCUGAUGGAGUCUCGACUGCUGCCUUGUCGAAGAAACUAAAUCGAUAAGGAAAAUACAUUAGCAGAGUCCAAAUUACAACACAGCUGUUUGGUGAACUAGUUGGAGUCCAUUCAAUACCUUAACUGAUCUGUGUGGUCAAGUUUGCGGCUUCCCAUGACAGCAGAUUCAUGGUCUGCUGUCUCGAACAGAAGAGACUUGUCAUCAGGCACUUCGACACGGAAUUUCCUGAAGGUUGCAACUAGCACUUGGCACAUGCGUGUCAAGGGACUCCCUCCAAGUCUCUGGUUCCUGUAUAACGGUGUACCUGAAAAGAAACUCACAACAGCAAUUGCCAUUGCCGCUGCUGGGAUGCCAAAGCCCCAGCCCCAGCCUACAUUGGUUUGUAUCCAAACAAGCACCGAAGCAGCAAUAAGAGCGCCGAUAUUGAUUGAAAAAUAGAACCAAUUGAAGAAAGAACUCUUCUUUUUCUUCUCAUCCUCGUCGGAGUCAUCGAAUUGAUCCGCUCCAAAGGAAGAGACACAAGGCUUGAUCCCUCCGGUCCCCAGAGCUAUAAGGUAAAGGCCUAGAAAGAAAACCGAUGUCUGCAACCCUGUUGUAUGGCAAACAUUCGUCCGAUCACAAGAUGGUUUUAGUCCAUGGAUCGAUGCUGACAAUGUCAACAAUGUCAUUCCCUGAAACAAGAUUAAAACUUUUGGACUGGUUAAAAAAAAGGAAAGAUUAAAAACAAGAAAAUGAUUGGUUAAGUACGCCAGCAUGGUCUUAAGAAAUAGCUGAUGAAAGAACUUACAAAGACAUAGAUUAUAGAGAAACUGGAAAUUGUCCAAUAUCUUCCCAGGUAGGCAUCAGCAAGAAAAGCUCCAAGCAAUGACAUGACAUAGCAUGUUCCUGACCAAUUUGUGACAUUAUUGACCGCCACAACAUUGCUCUGGUUUAGUUCAAAUUUAAGGUAAUUCACUAGAUUUGUGUUGAUUCCAUAGUAGGCCAACCUUUCGCAGCAUUCAUUUCCUGCAGGCAAGUCAAGACGGGCAUGUUAGCCAAUCACAAAACAAAAAAAACAAAUAACGCACGUAGAAAUACAGGCAAGCAAGCUCUAGAAAGGUAUAAAAGAGUUGCCUAAAAUAUAAGGGCAAGCUUUCCAAGUUCCUGUUUCCUUCUUGAUAGCAGGGUUUCCACGGAAAUCUGUUGCUCCAUCUUCGGUAAAGCCAUCUUCUGCCAUGGUUAUUGAUGAACCAUGGAGUGGUCAGUAUGUUCGGUUCACCGCUAUUGUCACUUUGACUCUAUUUCAUUUUUUUAUGCUUGGAAUGGCCAAAUUAUAUCAUACUCGAGCACAGAACUACUUUGGGCUAGGUAAUGGCUAUCAGAUGGAAAACUGGAGAUUUGUAUUUAUCACUCUCGCAAGCUCAUCUCAUUUCAAAUAAUUUUGCACGGUAUUUUUACUGUGUUUUGCAAGAACAAGUAAUUUGCUUCGAAACACUUGAAUUUCUAACUAAGUUAGCAUGUUAAGAAAUCCAAGCCCAAACUGACUUAAAUUACUGAAAUUUUUUAGUUUAAAGCUGACAAACAUCUUUCCCAUCUUUAUUUUGGCACACAAUUCGAUCCAAACCAUAAUUACAUUGGUGAAGCAUUGUCAUUUUCUCCUCUGGGCAAUGAUGAAGCUUUGUUAGACUUAAACGAGAGUUAAAUGCCUGAAACUUGAUGAAUCAUGUCAAGUGGGCUUUCAGUGUCUAGUGUUAUGUUUCUGCAGGCACACUUUCUUAGGAGAAGGAGAUAUUACUUUUCUUUUCUGUAUGUAUAUGUAUAUAUAUAUAUUAACAAUGCUCUAAAAAGCAUAAGGAAAGUUCUAUAGCUUUCUCCAUAUUUUUUAUACAUAGUGAGUCAUUGUGUAAUACAUUGAAACUCUUAGCUGUUUUUUUUUUAAAAUAUUUUUUUUUGUUUUUAUUGAUUUUUUUUGGUUUUUUUGUAUUUUUUUCUUUUAAUAAUUUUUUUUAUUUAGUUAUCAGAUUUUCAUAACACAGAUUUCGGAUUUGACGGGUUAACCCAGUUGAUUUAGAUUUUUUUUCCUUUUCCUUAUUAGUAAAAUGUUGAUGCCUUUUGUUUGUUUUUGUUUUUUUUUCCUUUUUAAUUAAUUUUUUUGUCUAAGUUAGUUUGUUAAUGUUCAAUUUUUUUUUAUUUAGUUAUCAAACUUUCAUGACACGGAUCCCGAGUUUGACAGGUAAGCUGGUUUGACGAGUUAGCCCAGUUAAUUCUAGGUAACCCGUCAAUUUUAUUUUUCUAUUUAGUUAUCAAACUUUUACGACACGAAUCCAAUGUUUGACGGGUUAACCUGGUUUAAAGGUUUUACCCAGUUAAUUCAGAUUUUUUUUCUUUUUCUUCAUUAGGUUUUUUUUUUUUCUAUUGGUUUUUUUUCUUUUUAAUUAAUUUAUUUAAUUAUCACACUUUUACGACACGACCUUGCAGCCAGACCCACAUCCAAGGCUAUUGAGUUUGGUAUUGCAGCAAGACUCACUUAAACUUGAGUCAUGCAAGUUUAAUGUUAUUAUUAAUAUUUUAAAUAUUACUCUUGGGUCAGGCGUUGCAGCCAAACCCAAGACUCUUGGGUAUAGCUUUGCAGAAAGACCUAACACUUUUAGAUCUUAAUUUUUUUUAUAUUUUUUAUGUAAAAAAAAAAAUCAACCCACGGCAUCACACAGGUCAUGUAACUAAUAAACUUUAAAAUGAAUGGGAAAAUUACUAUGCAGUAUGUGCUGAUAUUGUGUACAUAAAAUAUUUAUACUAUGAACUAUAUUGUAGAUGUUAAGAGGAUUAUAAAGACAUUGUUUUUGUUAUUAUUAUUAUUCUAAAAACUACUGGCGCGUGUUGGAUCAAGACAUGAUUACUUGAUUCAAAACUAUUAGAUCUGAUAUUAUCGUCAUACUUAAAACACUUAAAAUAUUCUUUAUAUUUUUAAUAAAUUUUUUUACAUUUAAAAAAUGCUGCAAAGCAUGGGCAAUAUGCUAGUAUAUAUAAAAACAAUUUUACAAAUUAGGAUGAGAAAUUUAUCCAACAGUAAAUAAGUAAAAUCCAAUUAAAUUUGAUUAUGUUUUGUGAUUUAACUAUGUUUUUGAUUUUUUUAGUUUUAAAUUAAUUAUUUUUUAUGUUUUUAUAUUGUUUUAACGUGCUAUGUUAAAAAUAAUUUUUUUAAAAAUAAAAAUAAUUUUAUUAAAAUUGUUUUACUAUACUCCAAAAUAGACCUUUAAUAUCGAAUAAGGAUUUAUAUAUUCCACCACUGAAUAUGUAUUUCAACAUUUUUUUAUUUUAUUUUGUGGAGUUGUAAUUUUUGUUUUCAAUUGAUGCACAUAAUUUUAUAUUACAAUUUAAGGACAUUUUUAUGAAUUUACUCUUAAAUUUAGAAUUUGGAUCCUAUGUAUUGUUUUUAAAUUUAUGGAUGUUGUUUUAAAACUUCUUAUUUUUUUAUUUUAUUUUUUAUAAAAUUAAUAUAUAAAAAAGCUGAAUCUUCUAGUUGGAUACCUACCAGGUGAAGGAUCGGACCCAACCUGAUGGUAUGGAAGGCAUCGUUAGAUUAUAUAAAUCAGGAGGGAAUAAUAAAUAGCCUGCAUGGCCCGAUCCAUUACCACUCCUAUUAUACACAUAUUAUUAUUAUUUUUUUAAUAAUAAAUCAUAAUAAUAAAAUAGAUAUUUGUAUAAAACUCGAUGAAUAAAUUAUGAAUAUUUAAAUAUUUUAAAUGAUGAAUAAUAAAUAGAAUAUAAAAAUAAAAUAAAAAUCAAUUCAUGAAUAUCCAUUAUAGUAUUAUCAUUUAAUAUAUAAACACUUCAAAUAUGUUAUUAUUUUAUUUUUUAAUGAUAAAUAAUAAUUAUAAAAUAAAUAUUAAUAUAGAAUAGCUGGUAUUGAAUGGCUGUUGCCAGACUGCCUCUGGGCAGCCCAUAAACUAAUGUGCUCUGAAUAUGAUCGAAUGGGCUACGGCAAAAGGUACUUGUGAUUUUCGAGGACCAAAAUAUUUGAUGUUCUUUGAGAAGAGACGAUAAAUUCUUCAUUUCAUUUUUCUAAGCCAAAACCAGGGAACAAGACAGAGGAAGAAAUUAUGAUUCUUUAUUAACUUCUUUGAUUCUAUUAUUUUUAGCAAAUGAUUUCUUGGAUUCAAAUUUUGAAGACAGUACUAGGAAAAAAUUGAUAAUAAGCAGAAAAUGAAAUUUAAUUUUGAGUUACUCUACAAUCACCUUUAUUGCAUGAAAAAAUCAUAUCAAUUCCUUUUUACCAGUUUAAAGUGUCCCAAGUCAGAACUUGUACGGAAAUACUUUUGACUUUCUGAAAGCACAUUGCAUGGGUACUUUUCAUUGAUUCACUUGAACCAAAGUGAAGCAUGGCAGUUUUAUAUUGAGGUUGAUUAUUUUAUUUUAGGUUAAAAUUUAUUUGUUUUUGUUUUAAAUUAAAAAUUUUAGUAUUUUUGAAUUGUUUUGAUAUGAUAUUGAAAAAAAUAAUUUUAAUAAAUAAAAUAAAAAUUAUUUUUAUAUAUUAUUAAGCAAAAAACACUAUGAAAAACAAUAUCAACAACACUCUUAAACACUGAGGGUGCUAGAGGUGUGAUAACAGUUUCUUUUUAAAUUGUUUUUCAUUCAGAAAUAUAUUUAAAUAAUAUUUUUUAUUUUUUAAAAUUUAUUUUUGACUUUAGUAUAUCAAAACGAUCCAAAGACAUAAAAAAAAAUUAAUUUUAAACAAAAACAAUUAAUUUUUGACCAACCUCCAUUUAUGCCAUAGUCCUAAACAAAGGCUUAGUGUCUAUUUGGUAUUGUAGUAGCAGUUGUAUUUCAAAGUUUUUUUUUUUUACUUAGAAAUAUAUCUGUAUAAUUUAUUUAUUUUUUAAUUUUUAACAUCACCAUACCAAAACAAUCCAAAAAUAUAUAAAAACAAUUAAUUCUAAGAGAAGAAAAAAUAAUUUUUUUUGAAACUGUGCAACCAACAACAUUCUCAAAUGCUUCUUUAGGCACCAUUUGUUUUUCAUGUAUGAAAAAACAAAUUUUCUAUGUGUUUUUAGAUCAUUUUAACGUAUUGAUACACUACUAUAAUCUUUAGAUUUACCGAUAGAAUUUUCUAUUCGUAUUUGUACUAUCAUUCCGUUGGUAAUUAAUUUACCAACGAAAUCAUCGAUGGAAAUGCUUCGUAAGUGAAUCUUUCAUCGGUAAUUUUUUUCGUUGGUAAGUCUGUUGGUAAUAAAAAAAAUAUUAUUACCGAUGGAUUUAUGGAUGGAAAAGGCGCGCAAAAAAAAAAUUAUCCGCUUCAUUUCGUCGGUAUUUUCAUCGGAAAAAUACUGUAUGUAAUUCCGUCGGUAAUUAUUUAAAUUUUUUUUUUAAAAUCCAUUUUACAAAACUAUAAAAUAAUUAAAUUAAUAUAAAUCAACACUAUAAUACUCAAUAUGCUUGGAAAAAAAGAAGAAAAAAAUCAUAUGAAAAAAAAAAUCCUACAACAAUAUUCAUACAAUUAUUAAGAACAAAAACAAUUAAAAAAAAUAAAAUAACAAAUAUAGUGAAAAAAAAGAAGAAAAAAAGAAAAAUCUUACCUUAAUGUAGUUGCAAGUGAAGUUAAGAAGAGAGAAAAAAAACUAAUUCAUAACGUAUAUUAAUUAAAAACAACUGAGAAGAAAAUAGAAGAAAUGAGAAGAAUACAUACUUGAGCAUGGAGGAGAAGAGGAGUUGAGGAGAAAACAGAAGAGAAAGAAAUGAAUAUUGAUAUUGAUGUUUUUUACAUAUGGGGAAGAAAAAGAAGAAAGGAGCCCUAUCUAUUGUGGAAUUAUGGAUUCUAAGUUUUUUUAUUGGGGUGUUUUACCAACAGUUUUACUCACAGAUAAUUAAAUAUGAAUAUUUUUAAUCAUUUCAUCAGUGAUUCCAUCUAUAAUAUUUAAUUUAAUAAAUAUUUUUCAAAAACCGUCAAAUAUCACCAAUGACUUUUCAAUCAAUCGGUGAUUCUGUCUGUAAUAUUUAAUUUAAAAUUUUAAUUUAAUCAAAUUUUUUAGAAAAUCGUCAAAUAACACUGAUGAGUUUUCAAUCCGUCGUUGAUUUUUUUUGUAAAGAACAGUUAUUAAUAGUGCAAUUAAAAAGUGAACAGGUCUAGAGUUCUCUGAAAAAUACCGACAGAAUUUUCUGUUGGUGAUUCCCUUUGUAAUUGACAUGAUGAACAAUGUUUACAAUUUACCAACGAAUUUAUCGACGGAUUGUACUGUCAGUAAUUCUGUUGGUAACGUCAUCGUUUUUUUUUUUAAUUAUUUGUUUUCCCAUUUUAUUUAUCAAUUUUCUAGUAGUGAUAUAAAAAAUAAAUUUCAAAAAUUUUUAAAAAAUUAUCUAUAAUUCCAAGUAAAAAAAAAACAUUUUAAAAAAUAAUCGCUGCCACAUUACCAAACGAACUAUUACCCAAAUACCCCCGCAUUAAAAACAUGAUUUUUUUUCCUUCGGGUGUAGAAGAUUAAUCGUCGAUAACCUUUAGAUCAUUGUGACUGAGACUAAGUACUAAACAAAGUUGAGGAUAAAUAGUUAGGUAACUAAUUAGCUCUGUUUUGAAAGGGAUGAACUCAGUUUUGUAUGCGAUGAUCGAUCAGGAAUGAGAGAUAAGGAGUAUAAAACGGAUAAAAAGUAGUCGAUGAAUUGUCACUAGCAGCAUAUAAAUUUGGGGUGAUGAGUCGUUGCUUACCCACCGUUGGUUUACAUUUUGCUUUCAGACAAGCCAUUAAUUAUAUAUCCCAUUAAUUGGGGUGGCUAAUCUGAGGGAAAUCCAUUGCAUGAAAGGAAUUUCUCAACCAUGAAUUCUCUUCAAGUGCAAGCAUUCUUAGAAAUUCUUGUUCUUGUGAUAGGAACGUCGUUAAAGGAAACAAAUCUCCUCCCAUUAUGUAUUUUUUUUUUCUUAAAAAAAAAAAAAGAACAGAAAUAGCUUCAAUAAACUGGUGAUUCCCUGUUCCUGGCAUGUCUCGAUCGCUUGUUUUAUAUUAAGUUGAUAAAAUAGCCUUAGUCUUAAUAUACAAUAGGUUUCUUUUUUUGACAUAUAUAUAUAUAUAUAUAUAUAUAUAUAUACUUUAACUUCAAACAUGGUCCCAAUUUGGCAUUGAUUAAACACGUAAUGCUUGUUGACAAAAGGGAUGUCUUGUUGAGGAUUUGAGAGUGCAUAUUUCUGUACCAUUUGUUUAUUGUUUAUAUAUAUAUAUAUAUAUAUAUUAUGUUUUUUAGAUUGUUUUAAUAUGAUGAUCUUAUAAAUUAAAAUUUUUUAAAAAUAUUAUUUUAAUAUAUUUUUAAAUAAAAUAUAAUUUAAAAAAUAACCGCUAUUAUAAUACGAAACUUAGUCUAAGUCUUCAAAUUUGAUAAUUCAUCUACAACUCUAGCUAUCAUAUUUAUUAAAACAAAAAGAAAACAGAAGAAGUUGCUCAGCAUGAGAAAUAGCAAGACAAAUUAAUUCACUGAAGCGACUUUUUUAAUACAGUUCUAGAUCCAUCUCAUGAUUUUAUAUUCUUUAAUAUAAGGUUUUUUUAAAUUUUAUUUUCUAGACAUGUUAAUUAGGUUGAUGAUAAAUCAAUUUUGUGCUUUUUAAAUUGUAUAAUAAAAAAUUUUGGCUUUUUUUUUAUCUUUUAUUUUGUAACUCCAUGUUUUUUUAAAAAAUUAUUUUGGGUUUGCCCUUUUUUGUGAUCUUUUAUUUUUUUUUCUUUUAUAAUUCCAUCUUUUAUUAUGAUUUUUUUUUUACUUAAUGGUAUUCUUUUGUAUUGGGUUAAUUUUUAUUCCAUUAAUUAAAUAAGAUCAUGUCAAAAUAACUCUCACGUGAUUUAAUUUAAAAUUCAGAUUAAAUAUAUAAAUAGAUUAUAAUUUUUCAAAUUUAAACUGUUAUAUCGAGUUUUAUGAUAAAAUUAAAAAUAAAUUAACAAUCUAGAUAUUAUUUUCUUACAAUUAAUUUUCUUUUUAAUUAAGUUACACCGAAAACACAGUCAAUAAACUAGUAUAUGGCUAUAUGAAAGUUAAUAUAUAUAUAUAUAUAUAUAUAUAUAUGAAGCUUCGAUGAUUUCUUUUAGUCUAACUACGCACUCUAUAAGCUUCAAUGGAUGUCUAAGUAUCAGGGGUAGAUCUGGAAAGCUACUUCCACAAGUCGUUAAGCCAAAAGGCAAUUGCAUUUGCUUUUUACAGAGAUCAGCUUCAUUUUCAUGGAAAGUAGAUGUAAAUCAACUUUUAUAUCUAUAUAUAGAAAGCAGAUAGAAAUGGAUAAUAACUCAAUAUAUUCGAGUAUAUAUUAUAUAUUUUAUUUAAGAAAUAUUGGUCAUGAAAAAUAGUAUGUAGAUGUCCAAUGAACCUAUAGAUGAAUAUAAAAGUUUGAGAAUUAGAAGAAACUAAAACUUGUGUCCUUUUCAUUGUAUUGUUUUUUUUUUUUUUUCAUUUUAUCCUCUCACAAUUCAUUGUAUAUGGGAAUAAUGCUAUUUUUGUAUUAUUAAUUAAAAUAAAAUAAAAUAAAUCAAAUUUAAACAAAAUUAAAUUAAAAUAAAAAAGAAAAUUUGUAUUAUUAAGACUCGACAACCUGUUCAUAUACCCUUGACAAUAGUGUUGGAGAUACCAUGAAUCUAAUUUCUAUUAGAUCCACUAGUAGAUCCAACCUCUAACCACAAAUUCGGAUAGAGUUCUAGAUGGGUCAAAUGAUCAUCUUCGUAUCUCUCAUACAAUAAGGUGUUAUAUAUAUGUUUUCUAAAAAAAGAGUUAUCAAAUAUAUAACAAAAAAAGGUCUUCGAUGCCAAACUAAACGUUCGUUGACAGCACGUGUUGUCAAGGGAUGGAGGGGUUGCCGAGAUGAUUCAAAAACCAUCCGGAAGUCGGUGUUUGGCCAAUUGAUGUCGCACACGUUGCCCGAAAAGUGAGUCCAUUACCCACGAGCUGACACGUGCAAAGCACGCGUCAACAACUUUAUUUUUUAAUAAUAUUUAUGUUUAUUAAAUUAUCAAAUCGCCCUACGUGAAUUUUGUUAUAAAAAAUACAUACUAAAAAGACAAAAACAUCAUUGGAUGUAAGUUAAGAAAUUUUUCUUUUAAAUAUAACUUAAUUAUUUAAUUGUGUUAUGAAAAAAAUAAAGAUGAUAAUGUACAUGGAUGACAACUAUAAUACAAAUGUUGAUCAUAUAAAAAUAUAUAUUUUAUUUUUAAUAAUUAGUUAUUUAAUUUUUUUAAAAGAAUAAAACAGUUAUUAUUUUAUUUCAAUAACAUCAACAUUUGUAUUCGUGUACCAACUUAUGCUUCUUAGGUUUUUUUUUUUUUUGAAGGAUGCAUUGUUUUGUACUGUGUUAUGAAAAUUAUUUAUCUUUAAUAUAUUAUGAAACAACUUUAUGCGCAUGCUCUAGAAAUGUUUUCCUAGUAUUUUUUUUUAAAUUCGAUAAAUAAUAUUCAUUGAAUAAGAUGAAAAGCCCACAAUGUAGCAUAGACAAUUAAGAUAAUAAAAUAUACAAUUAAUAAAGGAUUAGAGUUUGUUUAGUAUUGUGAUAAUAAUUAUUUUUUAAAAUAAUUUUUAUUUGAAAAUAUAUUAAAAUAAUAUUUUAUAUUUUUAAUAUCAGCAUAUUAAAAUAAUUUAAAAAUAUAAAAUAUAACUUUUUUUCAAUUUUUUUAAUAAAAAAACAGAAUUUAAAAUAAAAAUAAAAAAAGGAGGGGGAGCAAAGGAAAUAAAAACCAUAUAUUAAAUAUUGAAAUUAAUAUAUAUAAUUAUGGAACGCAAACAAUUUUUCUGCCGCAAAGAAUCGAACACAGACCUCUUCGUGACUCGCACAGGUUAAUCAUGAUAUAUAUUAUUGUUAACCAAAUAAAUAAUACCUUUCAGCUGUUUCCAACUUUUACUUCUUUCAGUAAUCACUACUGGUCCACUCUUUAGGGUAUUUAUGCUAACCCAAAAUUUAUUAAGCUUCUCUCUUGUCUCAAAAGUACCACUAAUUAGAGUAUAAAGUUAGUUGAUAAGUGGGUUUUUUUUUCUUUAAUACAUUGCAUUUAAGGUUUGAAUUUAAGAAAAAGAUAAUCUCAAUGUACCAGCAAACACGACUAAAUAAUACCUUAAUUUUACCCAAAAAAAGACAACAAAAAUGAAAAACCAAGAGAAUUAAUCAUUGUUCGAUCGGGUUGUCCUAGAAAGUAACUAAAUAAAGAAAGAAUAAUAAAUAAAAGAAACUUUAAGGACAAAUUAAUUAUGGAGGUGGUGAUUAACUAGCUCGACUUAUACCAUCUAAUUUAUUUUUGGCUCCACCGAAAUGUUUUUUCGUUAUUCUUUUUUUUAAGUAUAUAUAUUUUUUCAACUAAUAAUCUAUUAGGAAUUUGAGAUUUUUUUUUUAUUAACGUGGGUAUUCGGACCUGAUUGUGCAUACCUCGAUUAAUUUCACGAGUUUUGAAGUUAAUGAUCAUUUAAAUUUUUAAUGGUUUUAAAAUUUAUAGAACUUGAAUUGCUAUCUUAGAAAUUUGAGAUCUUUGAUCGGAUAAGAGGAUUUUUUUCAAUAUUAAUAUUUAGAAGGUGGUUGCCAUAUUAAAUAACUUUUAUAACACAGAUUUCAACCAAAGAAAUUAAUUUCCGACAAGGUUUUGAGCUAAACGAAAAUGGUAGAGGCAGUUUGCUUCCAAAUUUACGUUGGUCCAUACGAAAGAAAACUUUAUGUAACAUGUAAGAAACCUAGUGAGAUUAGGCAUCAAUACUUGUUUUCCAAGACUCUACACACGCACCUAACUGAGAAAACAACGACAUGGAAGCAAUUCCCCUAUUCCCUUUAUAAGGUUGUGGUAGCGAGUCACACAUGAAAGCAUCAAACCCAGAAAGCAAUAAGCAAACCAAUAGCAAGAGACGACAUACUGCGAGAGAAACAUUAGGAAGCGAGCAAACAUGGAGUCCUCUUGCUUCCGUUUUAUGCUCCUUGCUGUCUGCCUCUUCCCUGCUGUGGUCGAGUGCAGGAUUCGACAUUACAAGUUCAAUGUAAGUUAAAUAUAUACGCUGUCGCAUGCCUUCAUAUGACAAAAGCUUUCCUUUUUUUGCACUUUUUUUCCUUCCCUCGAUGUCAUUAUUCCCAUUAUUAGCAGAUAACUGUGUUUUUGCACGAUGCAUUGUGUAUCUUGACACAGCCUUUGUCUUAAAAAAGCUUUUUCCUGACCUGUCCAUCAUUCAAAUGGCAAUCAUGGAGUUGCAGCAGAAAGCUCUCACAAUCCAUCGAUAUAUUCAUGCAACCAGUCAAUAUAUGUAUAUAUAAUUGCACUGUGUUUGCAGAAAUUAGUCAGGUUUCCAUAAAAUAGUUGGAAUAAAAGAAAUUAAUUAAUUGCGCAAGAAUGGCAAGAUAUCAAAUCAUUGCCUAGCUACAGUGACGUAAUUAGUUAGAACAACUUCAACAAAAUGGACAAUUCAGUCAUGGAAUUUUAAUCAUAUACAGUUUAUUCUGAAAUGUUCUUAAUUUGGUGUAUCAUAUGAACAGGUGGUGAUGAAAAAUACCACCAGACUAUGCUCAAGCAAGCCGAUUGUUACCGUCAAUGGCCUGUUCCCAGGACCAACUCUGUAUGCCAGGGAAGACGACACAGUUCUUGUGAAAGUUGUUAACCAUGUCAAAUAUAAUGUGUCUAUCCACUGGUAAGAAACUAAAUAACAUUUAUCCUCUAAUUAACCAUGAAUGGUUCUGAUGUAGUUUUUUCCUGGUAUUUUUUGCAGGCAUGGCAUUAGGCAAUUGAGAACGGGUUGGGCUGAUGGACCAGCGUACAUUACGCAAUGCCCCAUUCAGACAGGGCAAAGCUAUGUCUACAAUUUUACUAUCACAGGCCAGAGAGGCACACUUCUGUGGCAUGCACAUAUUCUCUGGUUAAGAGCCACCGUCCACGGUGCCAUAGUUGUCUUGCCUAAGCUUGGUGUCCCCUACCCAUUCCCAGCUCCCCACAAGGAAGUGGUUGUUGUUUUAGGUGAGAACCACACAAAUUAUUUGUUUCACCAUAACUCGUCAAAAUCUCAUGAAGAUAAGAAUAUGGUUCAAACCAUAAACCAAUUUAUAAGAUUCGUUGUUGUUAAAUAUGCGAUUUGAGAUUAAUGUGGUGAUGUGAUAUUGCAGCGGAAUGGUGGAAAUCAGACACUGAAGCUGUGAUCAAUGAAGCUAUUAAAUCAGGAUUAGCACCAAAUGUCUCUGAUGCUCACACAAUUAAUGGACAUCCAGGAGCUGUCUCAACUUGUUCUUCACAAGGUAUUCAAAAACGAUUAAUGGCCAUAAGAUACACUUAGGAAUUCUUGGCUAUCGAGGAUUGUUUUCCGUAAAGGUCUGAUAUAAAAUUGUUUCCGGACUCAUGCAGGCGGUUUCACUUUGCCGGUCCAAAGUGGGAAGACCUACAUGCUACGGCUGAUCAAUGCUGCACUCAAUGAGGAGCUCUUCUUCAAAAUUGCAGGGCACAAGCUUACUGUCGUGGAAGUUGAUGCCACCUACGUUAAACCUUUCAAAACUGAUACAGUCCUAAUUGCCCCAGGCCAGACCACCAAUGUCCUCGUCACAACUAACAAAAAUACCGGCAAGUACUUGGUUGCAGCCUCCCCAUUCAUGGAUGCUCCGAUUGCAGUAGACAACAUGACUGCAACAGCCACUUUACACUAUUCAGGAGCACUUUCUAACUCCCCUACAACUCUCACCAUCCCACCUCCCAAGAAUGCCACUGCAAUUGCCAACCAAUUUACUAAUUCUCUACGCAGUCUAAACUCGAAAAGGUUCCCUGCCAAAGUCCCAUUAACCGUUGAUCACAGCCUUUUCUUCACUGUUGGUCUGGGAAUUAACCCGUGUCCAACUUGCAAAGCUGGUAAUGGUAGCAGGGUUGUUGCUAGUAUCAACAAUGUCACAUUUGUAAUGCCAACCACCGCCCUGCUUCAAGCACAUUUCUUCAACAUCAGCGGCGUGUUCACCACUGAUUUUCCUGCAAAGCCACCACAUGUUUUUAAUUACACCGGCACUCCACCCACAAAUUUACAGACCAGAAGUGGAACAAAAGUAUAUAGGUUGGCCUACAACUCGACAGUCCAACUUGUUAUGCAAGAUACUGCGAUCAUAUCCCCUGAGAACCAUCCAAUCCAUCUACAUGGAUUCAAUUUCUUUGCUGUUGGUCGGGGAGUAGGGAAUUACAAUCCGAAGACUGAUCCUAAGAAAUUCAACCUUGUUGACCCUGUUGAACGGAACACAAUUGGAGUACCUUCUGGUGGAUGGGUUGCGAUCAGAUUUCGUGCUGAUAAUCCUGGUAAUUGAUGUUUUUGGUUUAUGUCCACUAAAUUUGAACUUGAGAAAUUUUUCAUAAUUCAUUUUCUUUAAUUUUUUUUUUCAAUUUUUGAAGGAGUUUGGUUCAUGCAUUGCCAUCUGGAGGUGCACACUACAUGGGGUCUUAAGAUGGCAUUCUUGGUGGACAAUGGAAAAGGCCCUAAUGAGUCACUUCUGCCGCCUCCUACCGAUCUUCCAAAAUGUUAAACCAGCUGAAGAAAUUAAUUUACUUGGGGGAUAGAAGCAGUAGCGGAUCAGAACAGUGGUCCGCCGAAAGAUCAGAUGCUCGAAAGGAGAGGAGUAAUAUAUAUAUAUAUAAACACACACACAUAUAAAAAAGAAAAGUUGAGAGUUAAAAGAUCUAAUUUGUUUCUUGAGUAAUUUGAAAUAGUUGCUCAAGCGAGUUUGAAUAAAAUUUUAUGAGUGAUACAGUUGUGGAAAUUCAAAUGUUUUCUUUCCCCUCAAAUAUAUAUAUAUUGAGAAUUUUUAUGGCUUAGCCAAUUAAUUUGUUUCUUUAAUAUGGUUUAUCAUUUUUUUUUCUUAUUGUGAGAAAUCUAGUUGUAUUAAGCUUGAUGAGAUACAAUAUUUGUAAAUCACAAAAGAACUUGCGUCAUCUAACCACACUUCAUUUAAAACUGCUAACAAGACAAAUGGAAUGUUUUUGUUAGAGGUCGAGUUAUUAUAUGUGAAAUUAUUUCUUAGAUUGCUAAUUAAAGGUUCUAAAAAACAUUUGCAAUUUAAUUCAACAAAAACUUUAUUUUGAAGAAUUAAAAUUAUGUGUAAUUGAUCAUCAACAUUCUAUAUCUAUAACGAUAUGCAAAUGAGAAAUAUAAAUUACAACAAAGUCAAUCAAUCAUUCGAAGAGCUUGCAAAUUUAAUCAAGAACUUAGUAUAAUAAGUACUUAACCACAUAAAAAAAAUAAACAUACAAUAUGCAACAACUUGUAGAAAACAAUAUUCAUCAACUUAAUAAAAAAUCAUUAUAUAAAAGUACUUAAUUGGAAGAAUUGAAAGACCAAGGAUAAAAAUGAAACAAAUGACAAAGUUUGGAAGUCCAAUUGAUUAAAUUGAAAAACUAAUUGAGGAGAAAAAAUAGAAUUGAGGGAAAAUUGGAAAGAUUUGCAAGUCAAUGACCGAAAUAAAAGAGAUGAGAAAUUUUGGAAUUCCAAUUAUUCAAUCAAGGGCUUAAUUGAGGAGAAAAAUUAAAUUUUAGAGUGAAUUAGAUAAAAAAAAAAUAGAAAAGUUAGAGACCAAAGACCAAAAUGGAAUAUGCGUUUAAAUUUAAGGAUCCUAUUAACUCAAUUAAGAGUGUGAUGGAAGAGAAUAAUUAAAAUUUGGAGUCAAUUUGAUAAAAAAAAUGAAAGAAUUAAAAAGCAAAGACCAAAAUGAAAUAGGCAUUGAAUUUUGGGGAUUGUAUUAAUUCAAUUAGGGACUUAAUUGAAGAAAAAAAAUAAUAUUUGAGGUCAAUUUGACCAAAAAUACACAAAUUUAAAAUCUAAAGACUAAUAAGUAACAGUUGCCAACAUUGAUGGACUAAUAUGUAAAAGAAACAUUUGACAAUUAAUACAUAUUGAUCGAAAAUAAAGAAAUUAAAAGUAUGGGGAUUAAGUUGUAACCAAAGAAAAGGAUGAAAAUAACAAAAAUAAAAAAUGAUAAAAUGGCAUUUAAAAUAAACGUUGCAUAACCUCAUUUAUAAGAAAUAAUCAAAGGCACCAAACAACAUUGUUUUAAGAGGGGGUAGAAAAACCUUUUUGUCCUUCGUACCAUGCAUGCAAGUUUUUAUCCCUUUUUUUUUUUUUUUUUUUUUGCAUUUGACAGGAUGUUAGACCACCGUUUUUCUUUCUGGCGUGAACAUUAAAUACCCAGAAUCAUGUCAUUUUCUUCCCCUGAAAUUAUACUUCACUUUGAGCCAAAGACCUAUUGCAUUGUCUCCAAGGCUUCGUUUGUUUGCAGAAAAGUAAAUUUUUUUUGGAAAGUAAAUUUCGGGGAAAGUGAAUUCCUGGAAAGUGAAUUCCGGAAAAGUAUUUUCUGAUGUUUGGUAGUGUUAUGGAAAAUGAACUGAAAAACACUUUCUAGUGUUUGGUUAUGUCAUAGAAAAUGAGCUGGAAAAUAACUUAUUAAUAUUUUAUUUUUCUCAAGUUUAUUAAAAUAAUGAGGAACAAAUCUUACAAAUUAAAAAGUUGAAUGAGAAUGAAAUUGAAAAAAAAUAUAUAAUUUCAUAAAUUAUCUCAAAUAAAACAAAUAAUAAUCAAAAUAAUAGGGAUCAAAUCUAAAAAAUUAAAAAAAAAUGAAAAAUGAAGAAAUUAAAAUAAUAAUAAUCAACAUUUCAUAAAUUAUUUCAAAUAAAAUAAGUAACAAUCAAAAGAAUGAGGAUCAAAUUUGAUAAAUAAAAAAUUUUAAUAAAAAAAUGAUAAGAAAAAUAGCAAUUAUGAAAAUAAGGACCAAAGUUCAUAUAAAAAUAAAAUUUUAAGAGAUGAAAUUGAAAAAUAAAUAUUCAAAACAAAAUAUAUAUAGCAAUCAAAAGUUUGAGGAUCAAAUUUGAUAUAAUCAGCAAAUAAUGACAUUUCUAAAAUUUUCACAACUUCCGGAAAGUGUUUUCCCCUCAAAUUUUUCAGGAAAACACUUUCCUGAAAACCAAGCCAAAAUUUCCUUUUACUGGAAAGUGUUUUUCAUUGACCAACUUUCCUACUGGCAAACAAACAUAAGAAAGUUUGGAAAGUGCUUUCCCGGACACCACUUUCCGAAAAACAAACACAACUAAAAGGAAAACACUUUCCUGAAAACCAAGUCAAUUUUUUUUUGGACUAAAAUUGACUGGAAAGUGUUUUCUGGUGACCGGAAAGUAUUUUUCGCUGACCGAAAAUUGUUUUUCGUUGACCAACUUUCCUAAUGACAAACAAACACAGAAAAAUUUGGAAAAUGGUUUCCCGGAAACUACUUUUCGGGAAGCAAACAAGGCCCAAGUGGUGGCAGAAAACGCAUGCCAAAGGAGCCAACCCCAACACUUUAUAUAAAGUGUACAACAACGAUGGAUGACUAAGAUUUGUCCAAAAAGAUUAACGAACAAUAUUAUAUAUCCAACCUAAAAAGGUUUUAGGACCUUCCUCUAAAAAGAAACUUAAAGAUAGAAAGUUCGAAUGAGAGAGAGAGAGAGAGAUUUUAGGAAGGGAGGUUUGAGCUCAAACCAACUUAUCUGAGUGGAAGAAGAUAUUGAGGAGAGAAAGAAGAAAAUGAAUAAAAAGAGAGAGAACUAUACCCCAAAAAAAAAAAACCUUAAUUGUGAGGAAGAAAGGAGUUGGAUUUUUGGGUCACUCAAAUGAUUCAUUUUGAACCGGAGAGUUCCACUUGGGAAGAAAAAGAAAGAGAGGAAAAAAAAAACAUAAAUAAAAAAGAAAGAAAAAACCUUAGUUUAGAAAGAGAAAACAACUCAUAAUAUCACUCCAUCUCUAGUCUGCCACUAUAAUAGCACUAGAAGCAUCCGCAAUUCACAACUCUUCUUCUUCUUUUUCUUUUUUCUCUUUAGAAUUUAUAAAAAAGAAAGAAAAAACCUUAGUUUAGAAAGAGAAAACCACUCAUAAUAUCACUUCAUCUCUAGUCGGCCACUAUGAUAGCUACUAGAAGCAUCCGCAAUUCACAACUCUUCUUCUUCUUCUUCUUCUUCUUUUUCUCUUUAGAAUUUAUGAAAAAAUAGUGCAGAAUAAUGCAUUUUGAUUUUUAAAUGCAUGAAUAAAAGUUUAAAAUAGUUUUUUUUUUGGCAUAGAUAUUGUGUAUUCUUAUAAAAAAUGGUAGCCAAAUAUGUGAAAAAUACAUGGAUAAAAAUUUAAAGUUAGGGUUUUAAAGUUUAUUUGUAUUUAAUGUUGGUUUUGCAUGCCUCUUAUUAACCAAAAAAAAAAAUGAUUAGAAGAUUAAAUGUGAUGAUUUUGAUUAAAAAACAAAUGCAUGAAGGAAAAAUCAAAACUUUUGUUUUUAAGUUUGCUUGUCAUUUAGACUUGGAAUGAUAUAGUUAGUGUUUUGAAAUGUGCUUUGUUUUUUAGAUGACGGGGCUUGAAAAAUACUUGAAUUCAAAUAUUACAUGCUACCUUGAUUAUGAAUUAAAAAACAAAUCAUUAAAUUUAUUUUUGCUUCCUUGAAUGAUACAUAAAUGAAUAAUAUGACUUAACAUGUUUUAUUUUUCAGAUUAAAUUGUUAUAAUGAGCCAGGAAAAAACACAUUACCGUCGAAAGGAGGACCUGGUGCGUGUCCGGCAUCCAUCAAGAGACCUGCUAGUAAUAUUGGGCCAUCCCCAUGGAGGAGGAUUGCAAGCAAUGCCUCGAGGAAGACUGUUAGGCCUACCGAACUUUGCCCAUUUUUUUUUGUUCUUGAGCUCUCGGACAUCUGUUGUUGAAUAAGAAAAGCUAAAGCUGGAGCUGAAAAGUAUGGUGGAAAAUCAUAUUGAAUUAUGUAUUUGAAACGUUAAAUAAGAUUAUUAUUUUAAAAUAUUAUUUGUCCACUAAUUGCUAUUGAAUUUAAAAUAAAUACACUUUUAAAACUAAUAUAUAGUUACCAAGAGUCAAUUUGAUGGCAGUAAAGGAGACCCUGCUUGAAUAAAAUCUCGUUGAAUUUGGUCAGUGUUUUUUAGAAUAAAGUGAAUAAAAAGUUAUUUCAAAACAUAACCAAUAUUUUUAGUUAUUUGUCUAUAAAGUUUAGUAUAUCCCAUAAUUAAAAAUCAUGAAUUUUGGAUGAAAUAAAAUCAAUAAAUCAAUUCUAAAAUCAAACACCGAUUGAAGCUUCAACUGCAUUUCUGAGCUAGGCAUUCCGACACAAAGAAAGCUAUAGAUUUGAGUUAAUACAUGUAUCUAAGCCUUAAAUAUUAUAGAACUUCAACUGCAUUUCUGAGCUAGGCAUUCUAAAAUAUGAAAUGAUAGAUUUAAGUACCCUAAAUAUUUGUAAAUAACUAGAAAACAAUUAAUCCAAAAAAAUAAUAAAGCUAAAAUCCAAAAUUAUCAAGAAAAAAAUUUAAAAUAUAAUAUUAAACUUCAAAGAUAUUUUUUAGGGCUUUUGGAGUGGCAUUUGGAAUAAACUUCAGGCCAGUGAGAUAUGUUCUUUUAGAUUAAUUUUUUAUUAGGAAUUUAUUUAUAAAAUUUAAGUUUGAUUUAACAAUUAAAUAAAAAAUUAUAAUUGUUUUGAGUUAGAUGUAGAAUAACUUUUUGUUGUUUAUUUAUUCAUAAAAUCCUAUACUAAUUGCUGCACAUCACAGUCAAAAUAGAAAAUGGAUAUUAUGAACAUCCACUCCACACUUUAACCGAAUACUCAAGAGAAAGUUUAAAUAGAUACCUUUUCAAAUUUCAAUUUUUUACACUUUGACUCUUAAUUUUUAAUUUUUUUACUUUGAUCCCUGAACAUUUUAAUCUAACCCUUGAAUUCAUUUUUUUAUAUCAUGAAUUCAACAUUCUUCUGGUAAAAACAGUUACCCCAAAUUACAUUAAGCUCUUGUAUUGCCUCAAAGAACGAAUCAAAUAACUAGACAUUGUUCGUAGCUAAUGUGAGUUAGCUCAAUCGGGAUGCCAUGUCCUAGAAAGCAACAAAACAAAAGAAACUUUAAGGGCAACUUUAUGCUCGAGCUGAGUUGACCAAAUGUUCUUUUUAUCCCGUAUUUGUUAUACUUUUUUCAACUAGUGGAGUAGAUAGUAGGACAAGAGGAUGUUUUCAAGAUCAAAAUGUAGGAAGUGGGUACCAAAUUUAAUCAUUUCACAGAAAAAAAAUCAAACUUCCAUGUAAGGUUCCCAACAAAUGAAAGCUCAUAGUUUGCUUCCGAAUCUACGUAGAACCAUGAACAGGAGUACUUUAUGUAGCACGUAAGAAAUCCAUCGAGAUUAGGAUUCAAAAUCUUGUUUUCCAAGAAUGUGCUCACCCAACUAACCUAACUGAGAAAAACGACAUGGCAACAAUUCCCCUAAUCCCUUUAUAAGGUUGAGGUUGUCAGUUGCAGAUGAAUGCAACAAGCUUGAAAGAAAGAAGUGUGUCAAUAGCGAGAGAGAGAUUGAAAGGGAACGAUCAGAAAGUCAGCAAAAAUGGAGUCCUCGUGGUUCCGUUUUAUCCUUCUUGCUGUCAGCAUCUUCCCUGCUUUGGUCGAAUGCAGGGUUCGGCAUUACAAAUUUAAUGUAAGUUUGCGUUGUUAAUGUUAUUUUUAUAGAACAAACUUGGAUAUGGUCCAGCCUUCACAUUGAAAAUUUUCUUCAAAAUGCACUUCAUUGUUAGAAAACUAUGAUUCAAAUGGCAAGCUUAGAGUUUUCUAAUGGAAAAUUUGUUCUCAUUCUUUCUUUAUUGGAAAUUAUUUGCAGCAAAAGCUCUCGCUAUCCAUAUAUAUAUAUUUACACAACUAGCUAGUCAGACUGUUGUUUAAUAUUUGUGCCAACUUAGUUUGAAAAUUAAUUAUUUGGACAGUAAUGGUAAGAUCUUAAAUCGUCAACAGACUCCAAGCAGAGCUAUAGUGACAUAAUUAGCUACAAACACUUUAACAACUUGGAAAAUUUUGUCACAAGCUUUCAGUAUAUAUUUGAUUCAGAAAUGAUCUUAAUUUGGUCUCUCAUUUGAACAGGUGGUGAUGAAAAACACUACCAGACUAUGCUCAAGCAAGCCGGUUGUUACCGUCAAUGGCCGAUUCCCAGGACCGACUCUGUAUGCCAGAGAAGACGAUACAGUUCUUGUAAAAGUUGUUAACCAUGUCAAAUAUAAUGUGUCUAUCCACUGGUACGAUACUAAAUAACAUUUAUCCUCUAAUUAACCAUGAAUGGUUCUGAUGUAGUUUUUUCUUGGUGUUUUGCAGGCAUGGCAUUCGGCAAUUAAGAACGGGCUGGGCUGACGGACCAGCGUACAUUACGCAAUGCCCCAUUCAGUCAGGGCAAAGCUAUGUCUACAAUUUCACAAUCACAGGCCAGAGAGGCACACUUCUGUGGCAUGCACAUAUUCUCUGGCUAAGAGCCACCGUCCACGGUGCCAUAGUUGUCUUGCCUAAGCUUGGUGUCCCCUACCCAUUCCCAGCUCCCCACAAGGAAGUGGUUGUUGUUUUAGGUGCGAAAGACUUCGAAUUUAUUGCUUCACCAUAACUUGAGCAAUUCUCGAGUUGAUAAGAAUAUGGUUCAAACCAUAACUCCAAGUAUAAGAUUCAUAGUUGUUAAAUAUGCAAUUCUGCAUUAAUUUGGUUAAGUUAUAUUGCAGCGGAAUGGUGGAAAUCAGACACUGAAGCUGUGAUCAAUGAAGCUCUUAAAUCAGGAUUAGCACCAAAUGUCUCUAAUGCUCACACAAUUAAUGGCCAUCCAGGAGCUGUCUCCGCUUGUCCUUCACAGGGUAUUUAACUGGCCUUAAAUUUAAUACUAAGGUUCCCGUUAUCAUGGUUUCACUAUAUUAAAAAGCUUACACAAGAAUGUUCUUCGAUUCUUGCAGGCGGUUUCACAUUGCCAGUCGAAAGUGGGAAGACAUACAUGCUACGGCUGAUCAAUGCUGCACUAAACGACGAGCUCUUCUUCAAAAUUGCAGGGCACAAGCUUACUGUCGUGGAAGUUGAUGCCCUACGUUAAACCUUUCAAAACCGAUACAGUCCUGAUUGCCCCAGGCCAGACCACCAAUGUCCUCGUCACAACUAACAAAAAUACCGGCAAGUACUUGGUUGCAGCCUCCCCAUUCAUGGAUGCUCCGAUUGCAGUAGACAACAUGACUGCAACAGCCACUUUGCACUAUUCGGGAGCACUUUCUAGCACCCCUACAACUCUCACCAUCCCACCUCCCAAGAAUGCCACUGCAGUUGCCAACCAAUUUACCAAUUCUCUACGCAGUCUAAACUCGAAAAGGUUCCCUGCCAAAGUCCCAUUAACCGUUGAUCACAACCUUUUCUUCACUGUUGGUCUAGGGGUUAACCCCUGUCCAACUUGCAAAGCUGGUAAUGGUAGCAGAGUUGUUGCUAGUAUCAACAAUGUCACAUUUGUAAUGCCAACCACCGCGCUGCUUCAAGCACAUUUCUUCAACAUCAGCGGUG
rnacentral:lncRNA from 1 species